rnacentral:lncRNA from 1 species
AUCAUGGUGGAUAGAAGAAACUUCUCAGGUCUUCAAGAUAUUUACAAAAUUUAAGAGGACGAAGUCUACAAAUUUAAUAAAAAACAGUUUAGUACUUAUUUUUUGAUGAAGUUCUCUGCAGAAAUAAUAAACACAACGACAUCACACUGCACAUAGUAAGUGCACAACAAAAGAACAUAACCUCAAUUUCCGCUAUCAAGUUUGGUACAAUUACUUUUCAAAGUUUACUGACGUGCCACUUGUGCCACUCAGAAACAAAACAUAGUUAUAGUAUUUUUCAAUAAACGGUUCAGUACAGAAUAAAAAAAAAAUUAAAAACAGAGCUAUUAUUAAAGUCGGGUGACGGCUCACGCUAAUUUAUCAUUUACAGGGCUCUAGCGACUUAGUGACUUAUUGGUAUUAGUAACUAUUUCUUCUACGUUACCUGUUUACCUGUCUGGAAAAUUUAACUCUUCAUCCGCGAAUAUUUAAAAUAUAAUAUUACAAUUCAGAUAUGCGUCCGUAGAAAGAAAAGUCUCGGAACAGAGAUCGCGGGAAUGGCAUGGGAGAAAAGUGACUUUAUCAAUCAAUUUGCGAAAUUCAAAGAAGAUGGGAAGAGGCUGAAAGAAACACAACUUGAAUAUGAACGAACCACGAAGCGACUAUCCCGUCACAUAAGCAAAGGACAGGAGGAAUGCAAAAAACUAAAAGUGAGAAAUGAAUACUUGCAGGCUCAAAUGAAUUUGAAAAAAUGCGAAAUAAAUCAGCUUCAUGAAAAAAUAGUUGAGCAUGAAAAGGAUGUAAAGGCACUUGAGGAAGAGAUAUAUGAUUACAAAAGAAGCUCAUAAUUGCAGAACAUAUGGUGCAAACUGAAAAACUAGAACACAAGAAUGCUGCACUCCUUUUUUAACUUAGUGACGAGGAGAAAAUGAAACUGGACAUUCACUUCAUUCAAAAGAUAUAUAUUUCAAGCUUUGUACUUGUAAACUACCUCCUUUCACCUUCAACCACCUCCACAGCGCUCUCUGGCCCUGUAGGACACCUGGCUCCUACAAUUCCCUAUCAGGGUAUUGACACUCACUCAUUUCUUGCAAAUCCUCCAGUUGCCAUCCUUUUACUAGCCAUCCUCUUUGUCUCCUCUCAGGCAGAACCCAAUAAAAUACGGAAAAAUAUGAAUUCACUGCUCUUUAACUUAUUGUUAGCAUGACAGUAUAUAUGUCAUAACUCAUAAACAUUACAUUUAUUUACUCUUAAAAUUCAUUCACUUAACCUGUCUUCAGAUAAGGCAGAAGUUUUUUGAAUAUGGUGAGAAACAAAGAAUAAAAGAGCAAAAUAAAAUGUGCAAAACAGGAAGACUAACUUCAUAUUUGACUGAAAGGCAUGGGCUAAGAAGAUAUUCAUAACACAGAAAAUAUAGUAUUUUCCUAAUUAAACUUUGUACUUCCUGUAGGCGCACUUUUCACGUAAAAGCUUUCUAUCUAGCUCUUUCUUUUUCACUAUUUCACUUGCCCUGUCUGUUCCAGCUUUUUUCCCCGAAUGUUAUAAUCACAAAAAUUCAGUUUUCUUCUUUGGUGUACUUUUACCAGAUGUUACAAUCAAACAGAUUUACUUUUAUUCUUUGAUCUGUAUUCCCCUGAUUUAUAUAAUUGCAGAGAAUUAGUUUUCUUUUGAUGUUAUGAUUAAAAUUCAGUUUGAAGGUAACUAAUGAUAAAGAAUAUUAUCAAAGCUCAUAAAAAGAGAAAUAUCUUUAAAAAAAAGUGAUAAAAAGGUUUCAAUUUUAAGGCCUCGGUUCUUGUAUUGUGCACUCUUUUCAUAAAUGAGAUGAACUCACAAAGUUUCCUUGUAAAGUUGAGCCUCUCUAAUUCUUAAUUUUGAAAUUUGAUAAAACGUCCCUUUGUAAAAUUUCUGAGGAAACCUACAGGUCGAUUUUUACAUCAUUACUAGAUGACCACGAUCGAUAGGUAGCAUUGUUAUAAUGGAGAUAAAUAUCGCUCAAGGUUGUUGGAUGACCAUUCAACCAUUCGCUGCCGUAGUAAUGAAAAUACAUAAUAAGAACAACCUCAGUAAAUUUCUUCACUUUCCAACACUUUUAUUUCAAAUUAAAAGUGAGUAAAAUGAUAUCACUAUAGCAAACACACAUACAGAGAUAUAUGCAAUAACUUAAUUUAACACUGAAAAUUUUCCAAAUGAACUAUAUAUAUCACUGGAUCGCAAGAAUAAAAGAAAAUUAUAAAAGGAAACGUUGAGAAAACUUAACAGUUUUUGACAAUUGCACAAAUCCAAGAUGAGAAAACUAGUGUUCAAACAAAGCAAAAUUUAACAAACAAAAUUUUACUUUACAAUAUACAUAUUUGGCUGAAGAUUUAAAGACAAUAAAAAGUUAAGUACCUACCAGCUUGUUGCUAAAGGAAAAAAAGAGAGAGAAAAAAUUACAAACAUAUUCAGCAUUUAAUAAUACGGUCCCUGAGCAACUUCAAUCAUUUUACAUAGGAUCUACGGAGAAUUUGACUCUUUUUUUUUUCUUGAAAACUGCAUGUUAUUCAUUUUUUCUGAAUAAUUUGGAUAAAGUUUAAAAUUAAAGAGACACCAUGUGAUACAGGAAUUUGGCUGGAACUUAAGUGGGGGAAUAAGAGAGUUUUGUAAACUUGUUCAGAAAUUGUCUCAUCACAUCAAGAAUCCAUCAAACCAGAAACUUUUUAUUGGUCAAUGAAGGAUCAAGGGAAAUCGUAGCAUUAUUUUGCACAGCAAUGUUGAAAGCUGCAAAGCUUGAUCAGUUCCCUUCACAUGGAAAUACUUUUUUGGGGGAAAAUACAACCGAAGAACGAAGACUGGAAAAUUCUGGUGAAUUAACAAGAGUUACUGCAAUGAUUCAGUACACGUAAUGCUGAUUGUGAAUGGCAAUAAUUCUCAUUAAUGAUGAUAGUGAUGUGAAUCCAAACUUAGUUCUCACACGGAUAACUGAGAAGAAUAAUUCUAUCAUGCAUAGUGACAAAAAAAUUGAUGACCAAAAUAAAUUUACUGAUGACACUCAAAAUUAAUCAGUUUUAUACUUCUUUGUUUUCUUUAUCGGGAACUAUGGUCACUUACUUUCUUUCUUUUUCGCCCGAUGAAUAUUUUGGUUGUCACUAUUUAAACGAUGGCCAUUUCGGCUUCGAAAUGGCCAUCGUUUAAAUAGUGAUAACUGAAAUAUUCAUCGGGCGAAAAAGAAAGAAAGUAAGUGAGUUAUCCAGUUUCUUGACAGCUAGGUGUGACAGUAACCACAAAAAAAAGAAAGAAAAAAAAAUCAGGGUUGCUUUAAUGAGGUAAGGAUACUUUUGUCUACUCAGAAAAAAGGUUACGCCCCGAACAAGAUCUCUUUGUUCAAGAUAUAUUCUUCUUGUUUCAAGCAAGAAACACUAAGUCUCAUUUUGUAGUGGCACUAAUGUAACAGUCAUGGACAGAUACAUCCUUCACAUCGUAUUAAAAUAAAAAUUAUGACUAGCAAUUUAGCUAAAAUUAAAUAGGUACCUUGUAAGUAUAUAUACAUCGUAGAUAAUAGUUACUAAUUAACAGUUCAAUUGUACAGUAAAUUUAUGGUAUAGGAUUUACUUUUCUCCACCUUGGAGUAACUGUUCAUUUUACAAAGAAUACCUCAAUACAAAAAUAAUUGGACACUACCUAUCAAUAUAUUAUGGAACACAAGAAUUAAUUUAAAGUCAGUGUACAAAAAAAGGAAAGAGCUCUUGGUUGGUGAGAGUAAAAGUUAAUGAUAACUCCCAUAAUUUUUUACACAGAUGAAGAUUACUCAUCAUUGAACUCCAUCCCUAUUCAAAAAUAUUGCCGUCUCAUACAUAGAAAAUGAAGCGGCAAAAAAACAUAGAUAAACUUUGAUUGACUAAUUUUGACUCUUACCCCUUCUAACUAUUUCUCUAAUUAAUGAGAUGCACUGGAAACAGAAAGCUGCAUUAUGAAAAUCUGUUCAUCGUGGCGAAAUUAAUACUCAUUAACAUUCUCUUUCAAUGCCUCAUUCUUUCAAUAAACUGCAGGACAAGAAAUUCUUUCGUAGCAGUUAUUACCCAUAAAAAAAGAUUAAUUAUCAAUCGAAUGAAAUGAGCAGCGUCCAGCAAAAGAAUCUUAACUACAUUCCAGCAUAAGCUUCAGCGACCAAACCUACAUUUUUUGGGACUCAAGACUCGUACCAAAAAGUAGAUAACAUUCUUUUGGUCAAAAAUGCAUAUACAAAAAUAGUACAGUCAAGUUUCUCAUAUUCAGCACCUUUUCUAACCAAAAAAGAAAAAUAUACGAUUACAAAAAAAAGAAAAUCCUUGUGAUACUUAAUUUCCCCUCAAAAAUAAGAAUUUGUAGACAGUAAAGGCUGGACGGUGUAAAAGUACAUAGUGCAUUUAUUUACCUUUUUAUAAUCGGAUAAAGUUUGAGAUGGCUAGAAAGGGUUCUUCGUGGUAUUAUCGAAUAUUUUGUGUACUUUUUAUUCAAUGGUUUCGAUACCAGCUUCUAUUUGAAAUUAUAUGAAUUACAAAUAUUAGUCUUAUGAAAAAUUACAUAACAGGAUCUCUCUUCUCAGGAAAAAUAUUCUCAGUUUUAAAAUUACACAACAAGGUUUCGGACUGAACCUUAAGGUGAGCUUGUGGCACUGAAGGACUUGAAUAGAUACACAUGCAGACCCCUAGCUGAGAUAAAAAUGGACCUCGUUGAGCAGGAAGGAACCAAACCACAUCGGUAAUACCAAAUUUAAUUGGGCCAUUAAUGUUUUGCAUGAAAACGGUUGUGCAGGUUUUUGUGCAAAUUUCAGUGAAUUUUCUGCACAGUAAGAAGCAUGGCCCUCGAAAUUUGCAAAGGAAUCCGCACUAACGUUCUGUUAUAAAAAAUUAAAUUGUUCGGUUAAGUCUGGCAAUAGCUGCUGUGGCUUGGUUCCUUUCUG